rnacentral:rRNA from 1 species
GAACGCUGGCGGCGUGCUUAACACAUGCAAGUCGAGCGGAAAGGCCCUUCGGGGUACUCGAGCGGCGAACGGGUGAGUAACACGUGAGCAACCUGCCCUAGGCUUUGGGAUAACCCCGGGAAACCGGGGCUAAUACCGAAUAGGACCUGACACCGCAUGGUGUUGGGUGGAAAGUUUUUCGGCCUGGGAUGGGCUCGCGGCCUAUCAGCUUGUUGGUGGGGUGAUGGCCUACCAAGGCGACGACGGGUAGCCGGCCUGAGAGGGCGACCGGCCACACUGGGACUGAGACACGGCCCAGACUCCUACGGGAGGCAGCAGUGGGGAAUAUUGCACAAUGGGCGGAAGCCUGAUGCAGCGACGCCGCGUGAGGGAUGACGGCCUUCGGGUUGUAAACCUCUUUCAGCAGGGACGAAGCGUAAGUGACGGUACCUGCAGAAGAAGCGCCGGCCAACUACGUGCCAGCAGCCGCGGUAAGACGUAGGGCGCGAGCGUUGUCCGGAUUUAUUGGGCGUAAAGAGCUCGUAGGCGGC